rnacentral:ncRNA from 3 species
UUAGUGACGCGCAUGAAUGG